UACGGAGGGUGCGAGCGUUGUCCGGAAUCACUGGGCGUAAAGGGCGCGUAGGCGGCCUGAUAAGUAGGGGGUGAAAUCCUGCGGCUUAACCGCAGGGCUGCCUUCUAAACUGUCAGGCUGGAGCACAGUAGAGGCAGGUGGAAUUCCCGGUGUAGCGGUGGAAUGCGUAGAGAUCGGGAAGAACAUUAGUGGCGAAGGCGGCCUGCUGGGCUGUUGCUGACGCUGAGGCGCGACAGCGUGGGGAGCAAACAGG
rnacentral:rRNA from 1 species